AAUUCUUCUUUUAUAAUUAACACUCUCAACACUAUUUACUUCAAUUUGUAGCUUAGAUACAGAUAUUUUUCGCCUGCCCUUCUGAAUGUCCGUUUGAGCUCAAACUUGACAGUCAGGCUCGGUUUUACUUAACUUAACGAAAAAAAUUUUAAUCUUUCAGUUUCGACCACAUUUGGUCACCAAAAGCUUUACCGAACUGUAAUCUCUAGCAGAUAACAGUCAGAUUUUAUUUUCCACCUUCCGAGUGUCAGAAUGACAUGAAACUUUAAAUAUAGCCUCAUAAAAAUAAUUCUAACAUAUUCUCCAGUUUUCAUAAUUUUCUGACACUGUGCAUUUUCUGCUAAAAUAUCAGUCCCGUUUCGCACAAAAAAUUCUAAAUCUUCUGUUUUCGUUCCGAUUUCAGCACGAGUCAUUUCGAACUUAUAUUUCACUUCUCUAAAUCCAAUAAAAAUAGUAUCUCACACUAUUUUUAUUUUAUUUUAUUUUUUUUACUUUUAUAUAUAUUAAAAUUCAGUAUGUUACAUACAGUGCAUAGUAGCCUUUCUAGGAGAGGAAAGAUUUUUUUUUCUUUCUUUUUUCUUUUCAUUUUUCUUUCACACUCUGCAUUCUUUUUCACUACAAUUCCCCCGCCUCCUCGCCCCUCGCCCUCUGCCGAAGCCACCGCUCCCACCCCAAAGCGCUUUCCCUUCUCGAUCGUCAUCCUCAAAUCUUGAGGUACUCUCGUCGCCAUUGCUGUCAUAGUCCACGGUCCGCCCUCCAUUGUAGCCUCCUCUCCAUGAUUUGUGUCAUAUUUGAUCCCGCAUCGUCGUCGCCAGCGUUAGCAAAGGUGCAGGUGAGGAAGGAGAAAGGAGCACCAUGUCUACGUAGGAGCGAUGGAGGAGGAGGAGAAAGAGGAAGGAGAGGA
rnacentral:lncRNA from 1 species